rnacentral:lncRNA from 1 species
NAUUUUCGGUAAACUAUUAUCGAAAUUUUAUGUUAGUCACUAAAUUUCACUUUGUUCUAAGGUGGCUGCUAAAUUUAAACUUUAUUUUAAGUUGCUCACCAUUAGUGUGACUGUUGGAAAAGAUGAUGUGUCAGUUUACUAUUAACCAUUAGACUCAUAUCUUGUUUCACUAGUCAAAUUAGUGGAUGUGGACAAAUCAAAGAUCACCAACUUGAAUGAUCAGCAUGAAAUUUUGCUUAAAGUUAGCAACAGCCGGUGUUCUUAACCCUACUGUAGUUACCUUAAUACAAUAGCUAUAUUAAGGAUGUUGAUGAUAUCUAUUUAUCGUAUAGAAAAUUGAUUUAUGUACUGUUCCAAUUUGAUCUAUCAGGUUCUCAAGAAGAAAGAUGUGAGAUUAAACCAGAUCAUUUUUGAAAAAGAUAGUCACAGGUGUAAUUGGUUGUGUCUGGACCAUAUACAACUAGAGCAUGUUAUAAGCAAAGUAGCAUCAACGAUUUAUUCGAAUGGCAUGAACUAUUUUUAUCAAUUUUUCUUUUGCUUGAGAGACUAAAUUUUGAUUUAAGGAGUACUAAAAUUUCUAUUUGAACCAUCUACCUUUCAUUGUGAUCUACGAAUAUUGUAUUUGUUUCGACUUGAAGUUUUUAAAAUAGUUUGUUGGAUAUGGUGUUUAUUUUUAUAUCUAAAUCUUUGCAAGGGAAAUAUAACCAAAAUGUACGAGUCUAAAUGCAAAUUUACAUGUAUCUCGGUAAGGAAGAAAUGCCUAGUUAAUUAGGCUUGGAAAUUGGAUUUACAA